CAGCCGCCGCGGUAAUACGUAGUUGGCAAGCGUUGUCCGGAAUUAUUGGGCGUAAAGGGCUCGCAGGCGGUUUCUUAAGUCUGAUGCGAAAGCCCCCGGCUCAACCGGGGAGGGUCAUUGGAAACUGGGAAACUUGAGCGCAGAAGAGGAGAGUGGAAUACCACGUGUAGCGGUGAAAUGCGUAGAGAUGUGGAGGAACACCAGUGGCGAAGGCGACUCUCUGGUCUGUAACUGACGCUGAGGAGCGAAAGCGUGGGGAGCGAACAGGAUUAGAUACCCCGGUAGUCCCUGUCUCUUAUAC
rnacentral:rRNA from 1 species